rnacentral:rRNA from 1 species
AGUCGAACGGUAACAGGUCUUCGGAUGCUGACGAGUGGCGAACGGGUGAGUAAUACAUCGGAACGUGCCCGAUCGUGGGGGAUAACGAGGCGAAAGCUUUGCUAAUACCGCAUACGAUCUACGGAUGAAAGCGGGGGAUCUUCGGACCUCGCGCGGACGGAGCGGCCGAUGGCAGAUUAGGUAGUUGGUGGGAUAAAAGCUUACCAAGCCGACGAUCUGUAGCUGGUCUGAGAGGAUGAUCAGCCACACUGGGACUGAGACACGGCCCAGACUCCUACGGGAGGCAGCAGUGGGGAAUUUUGGACAAUGGGCGAAAGCCUGAUCCAGCCAUGCCGCGUGCAGGAUGAAGGCCUUCGGGUUGUAAACUGCUUUUGUACGGAACGAAAAGCCUCUUUCUAAUAAAGAGGGGUCAUGACGGUACCGUAAGAAUAAGCACCGGCUAACUACGUGCCACCAGCCGCGGUAAUACGUANGGUGCAAGCGUUAAUCGGAAUUACUGGGCGUAAAGCGUGCGCACGCUGUUUUGUAAGACAGAGGUGAAAUCCCCGGGCUCAACCUGGGAACUGCCUUUGUGACUGCAAGGCUGGAGUGCGGCAGAGGGGGAUGGAAUUCCGCGUGUAG